UUAAUUGAAGAGUUUGAUCAUGGCUCAGAUUGAACGCUGGCGGCAGGCCUAACACAUGCAAGUCGAGCGGCAGCGACUUAACUGAACCUUCGGGGGACGUUAAGGGCGGCGAGCGGCGGACGGGUGAGUAAUGCCUGGGAAUAUGCCCUGAUGUGGGGGAUAACUAUUGGAAACGAUAGCUAAUACCGCAUAAUCUCUUCGGAGCAAAGAGGGGGACCUUCGGGCCUCUCGCGUCAGGAUUAGCCCAGGUGGGAUUAGCU
rnacentral:rRNA from 1 species